GGCUCUGUGGUGCAAUGGAUAGCACGUUGGACUUCUAAGGGUGCCUUUCAAGAAGUGAUUCAAAGGUUGUGGGUUCGAGUCCCACCAGAGUCA
rnacentral:tRNA from 1 species